AUGACGGGUUGCGGUCGUUGCGGGACUUAACCCAACAUUUCACAACACGAGCUGACGACAGCCAUGCAGCACCUGUCUCAGAGUUCCCGAAGGCACCAAUCCAUCUCUGGAAAGUUCUCUGGAUGUCAAGAGUAGGUAAGGUUCUUCGCGUUGCAUCGAAUUAAACCACAUGCUCCACCGCUUGUGCGGGCCCCCGUCAAUUCAUUUGAGUUUUAACCUUGCGGCCGUACUCCCCAGGCGGUCGAUUUAACGCGUUAGCUCCGGAAGCCACGCCUCAAGGGCACAACCUCCAAAUCGACAUCGUUUACAGCGUGGACUACCAGGGUAUCUAAUCCUGUUUGCUCCCCACGCUUUCGCACCUGAGCGUCAGUCUUCGUCCAGGGGGCCGCCUUCGCCACCGGUAUUCCUCCAGAUCUCUACGCAUUUCACCGCUACACCUGGAAUUCUACCCCCCUCUACGAGACUCUAGCUUGCCAGUUUCAAAUGCAGUUCCCAGGUUGAGCCCGGGGAUUUCACAUCUGACUUAACAAACCGCCUGCGUGCGCUUUACGCCCAGUAAUUCCGAUUAACGCUUGCACCCUCCGUAUUACCGCCGCUGCUGGCACACUGGCCG
rnacentral:rRNA from 1 species